rfam:Melipona quadrifasciata isolate 0111107301 unplaced genomic scaffold scaffold161, whole genome shotgun sequence.
GUCAGGAUGGCCGAGCGGUCUAAGGCGCCAGACUCAAGGUUCUUUACCUUAUCAGUAUUCAAAUAUCUGAUUCUAAUGUGUUUUCUGGUCUCCUCUGGAGGCGUGGGUUCGAAUCCCACUCCUGACA